UGGAGAGUUGGCAGAGUUGGUCGAAUGCGCCCGUUUGCUAGACGGGUGGCCGCCUACGUGCGGUCCGUGGGUUCGAAUCCCACACUCUCCAU
rnacentral:tRNA from 1 species